UCUCUGAAGAGCUGACAAGAAGCGAGCGUCAUGAUCUUGAAGCGAUAGGUUCAACAUCACCUGAGCCUGCAGGCACAAAGGAUAGAAGUAGUCCUACUGAAGUCCUUACAAUACCUAGGCCGUUGACUCCAACGGCGAUAGAGUCACCGCCAUGUGAACAUGCCUACCAAGUCACACAUGAUUUGGUAACAGAGACAGAGACAGUUGCUUUGUCAUCAUCGACAGUGUCCGUCCAUCCGGUAGAGUCUGCAGCAGAGAGGACAAU